CUUGAGGACAGGACCUCCACUUUAAACCACAACUUUACGACGGACAAACAUCCUCCAUCUCUCUAAACUCUGCUGGUGAGGAGGAGACCUGUAUGCAGGAGAGCAGUCAGGUGGAAGAGGACGACUGGGGCAGAUGUCAGCAGCUUCUGCGUUAUGACCUGCAGCCACAUAAAGCCUGAUGACAAACAUCACCCAGAAGAUUCAGAGGGACGAUCGCAGAGUGACUUCAGUACAAAUGAGGGACAGCAAACACUAGUUUAGACAGGCUUUAUAAACAGCUGUAGGAAGGUGUCCAAUAAAAAAUUGAUGUAUUUUA